rnacentral:rRNA from 1 species
AGCGAACGCUGGCGGCAGGCCUAACACAUGCAAGUCGAACGAACCCUUCGGGGUUAGUGGCGGACGGGUGAGUAACACGUGGGAACGUGCCUUUAGGUUCGGCAUAACUCAGGGAAACUUGUGCUAAUACCGAAUGUGCCCUUCGGGUGAAAGAUUUAUCGCCUUUCGAGCGGCCCGCGUCUGAUUAGCUAGUUGGUGAGGUAAUGGCUCACCAAGGCUACGAUCAGUAGCUGGUCUGAGAGGAUGACCAGCCACAUUGGGACUGAGACACGGCCCAGACUCCUACGGGAGGCAGCAGUGGGGAAUCUUGCGCAAUGGGCGAAAGCCUGACGCAGCCAUGCCGCGUGGAUGACGAAGGUCUUAGGAUUGUAAAAUCCUUUCACCGGUGAAGAUAAUGACUGUAGCCGGAGAAGAAGCCCCGGCUAACUUCGUGCCAGCCGCCGCAGUAAUAC